GACGUAGGGUCCAAGCGUUGUCCGGAUUUACUGGGCGUAAAGAGCGCGUAGGCGGUCCGUUAAGUGUAGAGUGAAAGCUCCGGGCUCAACUCGGAAAUUGCUCUGCAUACUGGCGGACUCGAGGACGGAAGAGGUUUGUGGAAUCCUGGUGUAGCGGUGAAUGCGUAGAUAUCAGGAGGAACACCCAUGGGCGAAGGCAGCAAACUGGUCCGUAUCUGACGCUGAGGCGCGAAAGCGUGGGUAGCAAACAGG
rnacentral:rRNA from 1 species